CAGAUUUCGAAGCUGUUGUGAUGUUUCGAAGAUCUGGAAAUAUUUAACCGUUAGUUCAUCCUGAAUUUUUUAUAUGUUAUGCAAGAGUCGAUGAGGAACAACUUCAAUAAAGAAAGCAUACCGAUCUGAACAAGAGAAAAUGGAGUUUCGAAGCUCACAACACAUCUGACGGGUUGACAGAAAAAUAAUAACCAGUCAUUCAUCAUACCUGGAUUUCUGGAGUUAUACUGCU
rnacentral:lncRNA from 1 species